rnacentral:lncRNA from 1 species
ACAGAACUCGCCUCGGGACCUCGGGCUGGGAGUGUCUCAGAGCAGUGCAUGCCAGGCCUCCACAUCCCACCAACACAUGCUGCAGCACUGUCUGACUUCAGCAUCUGAAUGCAUGAGAAGCGGAGUCUCACUGGGGCUGUAAUCUGCAUUCUCCAGUGACCGGCAGUGCCACGCAGCAUCCCCCUGCUCACUGGCCACUGUAUGUCUAUGGAGAAACAUCUGUCCAGACCCAUCGCCCAUCUCUGCACCUUUCUGCUCAUUUCUAAGAGACGAGUUCUCCCUAUGUUGCCCAAGCUGCUCUCAAAC